UGUGUUUAAUCCAUAAUCACACACAGAGACAUAAAGACUGCGUGAGUCAGCAGAAAGACCAGAGCAUCAUGGCAAAACAAAGAAGUAGCGGCGACACGUGGUGCAUGUAGCAGGGCAUCCAGGCCAUCACCAGCUACGACAACACCUGCCUGCGAUGGUGACGCCUCCCUCCCAGAUGCACUGAACGAGUUGACACAUGGAAAGCUGCUGGUCCAGAAAACACUCCUGGGAGAUUUGCACAAUAGCAGAGGUUAAAGAAGUUUCACAGAUAAAUAAAAAUGUUGUAACCUAACAGAAAAAAUGAAGGACGUGCUCAUAAUUCAAACAGAACAAGUAACAUUGAAUGUGCUUAUUACAUUAGAUUGAAAUGAAUGAAGAACCGUUUGCUGGAAACAGUUUUGGUGG